AUUGAACGCUGGCGGCAUGCCUAACACAUGCAAGUCGAGCGGAUGAAGGGAGCUCUCUCCUGGAUUCAGCGGCGGACGGGUGAGUAAUUCCCAGGAAUCUGCCCGGCAUUGGGGGAUAACGUCCGGUAACGGGCGCUAAUACCGCAUACGUCCAGAUGGAGAAAGUGGGGGAUCUUCGGACCUCACGCUAUUUGCUGAGCCUAGGUCGGAUUAGCUAGUUGGUAGGGUAAAGGCCUACCAAGGCGACGAUCCGUAACUGGUCUGAGAGGAUGAUCAGUCACACUGGAACUGAGACACGGUCCAGACUCCUACGGGAGGCAGCAGUGGGGAAUAUUGGACAAUGGGCGAAAGCCUGAUGCAGCCAUGCCGCGUGUGUGAAGAAGGUCUUCGGAUCGUAAAGCACUUUAAGUUGGGAGGAAGGGCAGUAAGUUAAAACCUUGCUGUUUUGACGGUACCAACAGAAUAAGCACCGGCUAACUUCGUG
rnacentral:rRNA from 1 species